UCAGCCUCCCAAGCCCAAGUAGCUAGGAUUACAGGCAUGAGCCACCAGUACCUAGCUUCAUUGUUCUAUUUUCAUACAUACCAACUGUACAAUUUGUCACAUGGAUUCUCUGAUGUAUAGUAAGAGAACUGCUUUGCGUAAAGCAUUCCCCACAUUUUCUACACUCCUAAGUCCUUUCUCCAGUGUACAUUCUCGUGUGAACUAAAGCUGCUUCUGUGCUUAAAUGACUUUCCACAAUCUACAUUCAAAAGGUCUUUCUCCAGUGUGACCUCUCAAAUGUGUAUUAAGGCAACUUUUUUUCUGAAAGGCUUCACAUAUUGUGCAUGCAUAAGGCCUUUCUCCAUUGUGGAUUCUCUGGUGUGCAGUAAGAGAACUGUUUUACUUAAAGUACUUCUCACAUUCUCUAUACUUAUAAGGCCUUU